rnacentral:tRNA from 1 species
GAAUGUGGCUCAGUGGUAGAGUGCUUGCCUAGCACACAUGAGGCCCUGGGUUUGAUCCCCAGCACG